UAAGAACUCAGUUGGGUGGGGGCACAUUUGUUAUUUAACACUUGAGAAUUACCAAAUAAUAUUCAUGUCAAAUGAAUAGAAUAAAAUUAGAAAAGGCUUGGAGAGAGCAGACUUACCUGUACAGCAUCCACCAUCUCCUGAGGGUGCCUGCAGUCUGUGUGGAGUCGCAUUAAUUAUCAUUUGUACUACAGAAUACCAUUGGUAUGAAACUAAGGACACACAAACAAUUGCUUUUGGUGGAAAUUCAUAACUAAAAGCUACAAACGAACAAAUUAUAAAUCAGAAUACACUUCGCUACACAUUCACAUGCCAAGAAAAUUUGGAGGAAUUAAUCUCGAGAAGCCAUAUUGCUGUACUGGAUGUGGCCGACGAGUCUCACUAACCAGAAUCUUCUGGGCCACAAAAGAUUUCAGACUGGGUGCCACCUCCAGAAGUGGGCUUAGUUGGAGAAGAUCUACACCGGGGGCAUCAACCCCUUUUACCUGUAUUUUAUUUUGGUGUCAAAUUGUUUUUUCCUGAACUGUUAUUAUGUAAAAGUAAUGGUGGAAUUUUUUUCCCACCCAGAAAAAUAUUCCUUCAGAGAGCUUUCAUAAGGUACUAGCAAUGGUAACCUGUCAAAGACGUGUUUUAGAAUGAAUUUCAAAAGGAUUUGAUAUGUUAUGACUGAUAGGCACUGAUAGUGUGUGACCAGGAGGAGGUCACUUCACCUGCUUGUGCUAAUAGUGAAAAAACAAAAGAAAUGUAAGCAAUUGUGUCUCACAUGUUGUAAGUCGCCUCGGCGUCAGUCAAAUAAUAAUAAUAAUUACAAGAAAGUUUAGUAAAAUAACGCCCUCGGCCAAAAGGGGUUUCCUGUUCCUGAGAGGAUUUUUUUCCUGAUCCCUAAAAACUUUGAAUUCUGCUCUUCUGAUUUACUUACAGUGUGCUUUCUUGUUUGUUGUAAAUUGUUUGUUGUUUUGAAUAAAUUGCAAAAUCCUCAAAUUCCCCUGUCUGUCCUCUCCAUUCAUCUGACGGCGACUUCUGCACUCGACUUUGUUGGCCAAACCCUGUGAAUUAGCACAUUU